rnacentral:rRNA from 1 species
UGAGGAACAUGACCUUCGGCGGGGGAGUAGCCGGCCCAACGGCCGGGUAAUACCGCGUACGACCACUUUGGGACAUCCCUGGGUGGUGAAAGCAGCAAUGCGCCGAUGGAGUGCCUCGCGGCCUAUCAGCUAGUUGGUGAGGUAACGGCUCACCAAGGCGACGACGGGUANCUGGU